rnacentral:lncRNA from 1 species
GCAGGUAGCCUAUCUGAAAUAAGAUUUAAAUCAUAAAUACUCACAUCGAUGCUGGAUGAAGCAGUCUUACUGCAUUUUGUUAUGCCGUGUUUGGCUGACAUGACUGGGAGGCCUGCUCUUUUCUGAAGGGAAACAGGAGCAGUGGAUCAAGAGGAGAGGUGAGGGAGGGUGACAGGAGCAGAGGAGGGAGAGCAAGCUGGGUUCUGGAGCUACUAUAUAAGAGAAGAAGAAGGAAAAAGAAAAAGGAAAAACAUAAUUAACAACCUCACUGAAUUGUAAUAAAGCAAAAAAUAUGUAUCUAAUAAAUAGUUGAAAAUUUCAAAAAAAGGGAGAAAUCGAUUUAAAGUCAUGACUGGAUAUGCCAGAAAAUAACUUUUGGGCCGUUCUUAUGAUGUCAGGGUCCUUUCUUGAUGCAUCUCCCUACACUCCAGAAGCCUUUUGCAAGAGUCCUUGAGUGCUCAUUCUCCUUUGUGCUCCUGUAUUGGCUCGCUGGCAUGCCUCACCAAAUCAGACCAUGGACACCAGCUCUGCGGGGGACAGGCUCAGGGCACUAAGGACUUGUUGGAGUGGCAGAGAAAGGAAGAGAUGCCCCUGCCGAUGGGAUGCUCAUGAGUAAGAUGGGGUCAGGAGACUGACCAUGAGGUAGAUGAAGAGGAGGAGGAAGGUGGGGAGGAAGAGGAUGGAGAUGAAGAUGAAGGUGCUGAGGCAGCUAUAGGCUCCUGGGCAGCUGAAGGUGACCAAGAAGCAAAGGACUUAUGAGGAUGACUACUAGACAGCCAAAAAAAGAAAAGUUAGAUUUAAAAAGGCCAGUGUGACCUAGCCAACCCUUCACUGCUGAUCUCAGAAUCACCUUUGAUUGGAGAGGCCAACCCAACUGACUGUCUAUAGGGCUCAGUGCUGCCCCCCUGUUGACCAGUCUGAAUUUGUAACAGGAAGGAAAAACAAAACAAAACAAAACAAAACAAAACAAAACAAAACUUCCAAGGAUCUGAUGCUCUCUUCUGAACUCAGCUAGCACUAGAUAUACACAUGGAGCACAUGCAUGCAGUCAAAACCCUUAUAUACAAAAAUAAAGAUAAAUGCACCUAAAAAGCAUUUUAAGAGGAAAUAUUGUAUUCUUCAAUUUACAUUUUAUACUUUUGUAAGUAUUGUUUAGUGGCAGCCACUAUUUUUGAAACAGGGUUUCUUUGUGUAACAGCUGUGGCUGCCCUGGAACUGCUUUUCCACUAGGAUGGCCUGGAACUCUCCUCUCCCUUCCAAGUGUUGUUAUUAAAGGCUUGUACAGCCUGUGCCCAGCUGCAUCAGCCACUUUUGAUGAUACAAAGUAACCAACCCCAAAAUUAGGAGCAUUCUAAGUCCUUCUCCCUUGGCUUGCUUGCUUGCUUGCUUCCUUUCUUUCUUUUUGAUUUUUUUUUUUAUUUUAUGUAUAUGGGUACACUGUCACUCUCUUCAGACACACCAGAAGAGGGCAUCAGAUCCCAUGCGGUGGCUGGGAAUUGAACUCAGGACCUCUAGAAGAGCAGUCAGUGCUCUUAAUUGCCGAGCCAGCUCUUUACCUCCCUUCCUUUGGCCCUUUUGAGACAAGGUCUCUCUACAUAGCCCUGGCUGUCCUGGAACUCACUUUAAAGAUCAAGUUGGCCUCAAUUUGAUAGAGAUCUGUCUGCCUCUGCUUCCAAGAGCUAGAAUCAAAGACAUGCACCGCUGCACCUAACUCUGUGUCUUACUUCUUAUUUUCUUUGUGGAAUAAUUCAUUAUAAUUUCAAAGAAGGAAAAGGAGACCUUGAAGAAAAGAAAACAAAACACCGCCAACAAAAUCAUAUUCUGAGUACUCUGUGACUUUUUUUUUUUUUUUUUUUUUGGUGCAGAGGAUCCAGGUUCCAUUCCCAGCACCCAUGUGUCAGCUCACAACCACCUAUAACUCCAUAUCUAGGGCAUUCAGUGCCCUAUAUUUAGUUGGUUUGUAUGAAAUGAUGAAAAAGGCCAAACACAUUUUCUUUUUUUUUGUAUAUGAAAUUAUUGUUCAUUUAUUUAUUGGUCUAUUUGCUGUAUGUGUGGAACAAUAUCCAAGAAUAAACUACAGAUUAUUUUCUUUCCUUUU